GUCCGUCAGCCGCCGCAUCCGCCUCCCGGCGGAGCCGGGGACCCCACCGAUCCCGGGGCGAAUCGGCAUGAGGCCGUAGGGCGAACUCCCAGCCCGCCCCCACCCGGUCGGCGGCAUGGAAGCAAGG
rnacentral:sRNA from 2 species